UACGGAGGGGGCAAGCGUUGUUCGGAGUUACUGGGCGUAAAGGGCGCGUAGGCGGCGCAUCAAGUCAGGCGUGAAAGCCCCGGGCUUAACCUGGGAAUUGCGCUUGAUACUGCUGUGCUAGAGAUCGGGAGAGGAUGGCGGAAUUCCCAGUGUAGAGGUGAAAUUCGUAGAUAUUGGGAAGAACACCGGUGGCGAAGGCGGCCAUCUGGACCGUAUCUGACGCUGAGGCGCGAAAGCGUGGGGAGCAAACAGG
rnacentral:rRNA from 1 species